CCUACGGGAGGCAGCAGUGAGGAAUAUUGGUCAAUGGGCGCGAGCCUGAACCAGCCAAGUAGCGUGAAGGAUGACUGCACUACGGGUUGUAAACUUCUUUUAUCAAGGAAUAAAGUGAGGCACGUGUGCCUUGUUGUAUGUACUUUAUGAAUAAGGAUCGGCUAACUCCGUGCCAGCAGCCGCGGUAAUACGGAGGAUGCGAGCGUUAUCCGGAUUUAUUGGGUUUAAAGGGAGCGUAGAUGGGUUGUUAAGUCAGUUGUGAAAGUUUGCGGCUCAACCGUAAAAUUGCAAUUGAUACUGGCAGUCUUGAGUACAGGUGAGGUAGGCGGAAUGCGUGGUGUAGCGGUGAAAUGCAUAGAUAUCACGAAGAACUCCGAUUGCGAAGGCAGCUUACUAA
rnacentral:rRNA from 1 species